rnacentral:SRP_RNA from 13 species
UUCGGUUGAGGUCGUUUGCGACUUGCUGGGCUGUCCGGUGCAAGUAAGGUGGUGGCAGCAGCACGGGAGGCGGUGGCGAUGGCGGCGGUGGCGUGGCACUUGGUGG